UAAUACAGAGGGUGCAAGCGUUAAUCGGAAUUACUGGGCGUAAAGCGCACGUAGGCGGUUUUUUAAGUCAGAUGUGAAAGCCCCGGGCUCAACCUGGGAAUUGCAUUUGAAACUGGGAAACUAGAGUGUGUGAGAGGGGGGUAGAAUUCCAAGUGUAGCGGUGAAAUGCGUAGAGAUUUGGAGGAAUACCAGUGGCGAAGGCGGCCCCCUGGCACAACACUGACGCUCAGGUGCGAAAGCGUGGGGAGCAAACAGGA
rnacentral:rRNA from 1 species